GAUGAAUAUAAAUACAUGUUGGUUUUUUUUUGGUUUCACACGUUAAACCAUUGCACAAAAAAAAGCUUGACAAUCAUUUUAAUUUGACUACAAAGGAAAUCAGGAGAAGCAGUUGGUUUGAUAUGAGCGUAAUCCUGAUUAUGAACGAAGCACAAACCACUCGAGAGAAACGAUCAAUCUUCAACUAACUGUUUUGUGCGUGAAUGCAGUGAAGACUUGGAUUUUAAGUCAAGUAUAUUUUACUUUCUGAAAUCAUUAUAGGUGUUUUUUCCUUCGUAUAAAAUUUCUUUGAAUCCAUAUAAAAAUGAAAUCGAAGUUUUGUUUAUGUAUUAGCAAUACAAAGCAAGACAAAAUUCAAAUGCAGACCAUUAGAAUAUUACGGGAAGGAAUCAUGAAUAGUCAUGAUGCUUAAUAACAGUUACACUUCAGAGAUGCCCUUUUCAGUUAUUGUCCUACAAGAGCUGUAAAUUAACACCAAGGACUAGGCCAACCAUUAAUGACAACGAAAUGACAAGACGCGACAAGAUCGAGAGAGUAUGACGACAGUAACGUCGACUGCUUUGCAUGUUGUUGUAACGGUUUCUAAUAUACUGAACUUCCACAGAAUCCACUGCAGAAAAUAAAAAGAAUGGGAUAUAGCUUGGUAUCAACUCGAGUUAUUUAAUUCUAAUAUUCGGAUAAACGAUCCUUC